rnacentral:rRNA from 1 species
GACGAACGCUGGCGGCGUGCUUAACACAUGCAAGUCGAACGAAGUGGCGAACGGGUGAGUAACGCGUAAUCAACCUGCCCUUCAGAGGGGGACAACAGUUGGAAACGACUGCUAAUACCGCAUAUUGCAGGAGGUGAGUGGGUCGGAUUAGCUAGUGGGCGGGGUAACGGACCCCCAAGGCGAUGAUAAGUAGCAGGUCUGAGAGGAUGAACGGCCACAUUGGGACUGAGACACGGCCCAGACGCCUACGGGAGGCAGCCAGGGGGAAUCUGCCGGAAUGGGCGGAAGUCUGACGGAGCAACGCCGCGUGAGGGAUGACGGCCUUCGGGUUGGAAAGGUAUGUUAAUCGGGAGUCGGUACCGGAAUAGAAAGCCACGGCUAACUACGUGCCAGCAGCCGCGGUAAUAC